rnacentral:rRNA from 1 species
AUACGGAGGAUCCGAGUGUUAUCCGGAUUUAUUGGGUUUAAAGGGUGCGCAGGCGGAAGAUUAAGUCGGCGGUGAAAUUUUGCAGCUCAACUGUAAAAUUGCCGUUGAAACUGUUUUCUUGAGUGUAAAUGAGGUAGGCGGAAUGUGUUGUGUAGCGGUGAAAUGCUUAGAUAUGACACAGAACACCGAUUGCGAAGGCAGCUUACUAAGAUACAACUGACGCUGAGGCACGAAAGCGUGGGGAUC